AUGCUGCAGUGCACCCGUCACCCUUCAGACGUGCAGACAGACAGACAGACAGUCAGUCAGGUGCUGUCUCAGCAGGGAGGAGAUGAAAAGUGUUUUGGCAGGCGCCGCACCGGUCCAGAUUGUAACCCCUAUUUCUGCCUCCAAAAACCUGCCUUGGAGGAGCGUCCACGGAGGGAUUAGGGAUUUAGUGGGGAAGGUAAGUGUGACUACAAGCUUUGGCUCGCCAUCUGCUCCCCAGCAGAGUUGAGGCCAACCUGUGCAGCCUGCAGCAAAGACCUGGGCACUGUGCUAACUCUGGCUCGAGCCAACCUGGCGCCCGCGGCCCCAAUCACCAACAGUCUGCUGAUUAGUUGUAAGAAGCACUCCAUAUGUAGCAAAGUUUUUUUUCCUCCUCUCUCUCUGUCUGUCUGUCUCCUUCCCUUCCUUCCUCUCUUCCUUCUGUAUCCUCUCGCCGCAUUAAAUAAAUAUGGAUGCAUGGAUUUUUUUUUUUUUAAUCGCCUUCGGUGGUCUGUUUUUCUUCUCGCUCACCUCUGACAGAAUACCAAGCCAGGGGAAGGAAAGGAAAAGAAGAUGAAGAGGGUGAAGUAGAAGGAGAAGAAAAAGAAGAAGAAGAAAUCCUGGCUGUCCUCCUCUCCCUUCUUCUCCUUCCCCUCCCUUGCUCUCUUUUGCCUGGCAGCGCCGGGAGACAGAUGACAGGGGUUUGUGGCCGUCUGAUCACCCCUGGGUGGGUAUUUUCUAAUUUAUUUAACGGCAGCUUAUUAAA
rnacentral:lncRNA from 1 species